CAUGCUGUACAGCUGUUCUGGAAUUCUAAAUUAAUUUUAUUUAUUAUGGUUAAAAACCUUCUUGCUUCUUAACCUGUGAACCAGAACUGUAACACUAGUCAGGUUCCAGAAGCAGUUUUUAUGCAGUAAGUUAUAUAGUUAGCAUGUUUAUGUAACAAUAUUUGGCAAAGUCAUGGGCUUAACCUGCUGCGGCCAUAACCUGGUGUAACUAAUAUUUAUUUGCCAAAACAGGUGAUCUUACCAUAUAUACUUGUGUAUAAGUCGAUCUCAUGUAUAAGUCAAGGGCAGUUUUGUGACCAACAAUUGUGAAAUAUGCUAUGCCUCGUGGAUAAGUCGAGGGUAAAACUUGGG